rnacentral:rRNA from 1 species
CCUACGGGAGGCAGCAGUGAGGAAUAUUGGUCAAUGGGCGGAAGCCUGAACCAGCCAAGUCGCGUGAGGGAAUAAGGCCCUACGGGUCGUAAACCUCUUUUGCCGGGGAGCAAGGGCCGGGACGCGGCCCGGCCCGGAGAGUACCCGGAGAAAAAGCAUCGGCGAACUCAGGGCCAGCAGCCGCGGUAAUACGGAGGAUGCGAGCGUUAUCCGGAUAUAUUGGGGUUAAAGGGUGCGUAGGCGGGCUUUUAAGUCUGCGGUAAAAAUGCGGGGCUCAACCCCGUCCGGCCGUUGAAACUGGGGGCCUUGAUUGGGCGAGAAGAAGGCGGAAUGCGUGGUGUAGCGGUGACAUGCAGAGAUAUCACGCAGAACCCCGAUUGCGAAGGCAGCCUUCCGGCGCCCUACUGACGCUGAGGCACGAAAGUGCGGGGAUCGAACAGGAUUAGAUACCCUUGUAGUC